ensembl:lncRNA
GAAAGACUGUGAACUCUUCACACUCCGGAUGGGAGAGGGGCGGAAACAUCCCGAAAACCGCACGAAAUAGCCUUUUUAAGGGAUCUUGGUCGCAAUGCAAUAACGACUGUUUUGAACGUAUACACUGAAGACCAGCAGAAAAGAAUGACCACGAACCCGAGGAGGGAACGGCAGAGGUUUCGGACGCUGCCGCGGGAACGUUACUGGAAGUUACUCUCCAGAGCAACCCCUCUCAAAAAUACAAAUACCUGGAGGCAGAACCCAAGAUAUUAGGGGUACACGUGAGGUUGAUAUCGGAGUAGAGUACAAUGUAGUCUCAAAUAAAUCUACUGAUGAGUUUUAGGUCUCAUCCACAGGGCAUAAUUUCUGGCGGUGUAAAGCGAUAGCAGAGCAGAAGCUUCAUCUGCGGACAGUAGCCUAAGUCGGGCUACUGGACACAGCAAAAACUAUGAAAUAUCAUUAAAAAAUAUCUAUCAUGCAUGCUAUUUCUAUGUCCAGAAUGUACCCCCUAAAUUUCUGAGUACCCACUCAGAAUGUUUCGCUGAAGAGGCACUUAGAAAUAAGCUCUUGAGUGUGUGUGUCUGUCGUUUUGUUUCUCAACAGCUCAAGGCUUGUUGGUGGUCACAUGUGUGGCAUAGAAUUCACAUUUUUGAUGUGAAAUAUUCCUUUAAGCUAAACGUGAAAACAUCAUUAUUUUGGCAUACACACUACAACCAUGCUAUUAAUGUAUCAAUAUUUUUUUUUUGCAUUGAACUGAAGCUAAUAAAGUUCACAUUCACCCACUGACCUGA